AGGUGAUCGUUAAAUCGAGGAAAGGAAUUAGCAUCGCGAAUUGUGGAAUUACGCUCAAGUCAAUAAGGGGAUACUUCCGCAGGUGUUGAGUAGUGGUGAUUGAGUGACGACUCCGAAGACUCGAAGUCGAUCGCAUCCAGUCGUGGUGAUGAACGGUGACAAGGGCCGAGGACGGG